rnacentral:rRNA from 1 species
GCCUACGGGGGGCAGCAGUGAGGAAUAUUGGUCAAUGGGCGGAAGCCUGAACCAGCCAAGUCGCGUGAGGGAAUAAGGCCCUACGGGUCGUAAACCUCUUUUGCCGGGGAGCAAGGGCCGGGACGCGUCCCGGCCCGGAGAGUACCCGGAGAAAAAGCAUCGGCUAACUCCGUGCCAGCAGCCGCGGUAAUACGGAGGAUGCGAGCGUUAUCCGGAUUUAUUGGGUUUAAAGGGUGCGCAGGCGGAAUGUCAAGUCAGCGGUAAAAUUUCGGGGCUCAACCCCGUCGUGCCGUUGAAACUGGCGU